rnacentral:rRNA from 1 species
AGAGUUUGAUCCUGGCUCAGGACGAACGCUGGCGGCGCGCCUAACACAUGCAAGUCGAACGGAGUAUUCAGCAAUGGAUACUUAGUGGCGAACGGGUGAGUAACGCGUAGAUAAUCUGCCUCAAAGAUGGGGACAACACUUGGAAACGAGUGCUAAUACCGAAUGUGGUAUCUUGGCUGCAUAGCUUAGAUAAAAAAGGUGGCCUCUGUAUAUGCUACCGCUUUGAGAUGAGUCUGCGUCUGAUUAGCUAGUUGGAGAGGUAAAAGCUCACCAAGGCGACGAUCAGUAGCCGGUCUGAGAGGAUGAACGGCCACACUGGGACUGAGACACGGCCCAGACUCCUACGGGAGGCAGCAGUGGGGAAUCUUCCGCAAUGGACGAAAGUCUGACGGAGCAACGCCGCGUGAGUGAAGAAGGUCUUCGGAUUGUAAAGCUCUGUCAACUAGGACGAAUGUGUAGCUUGUGAAUAAUGAGUUGCAAUGACGUAC